GACGAACGCUGGCGGCGUGCUUAACACAUGCAAGUCGAACGGAAAGGCCCUGCUUUUGUGGGGUGCUCGAGUGGCGAACGGGUGAGUAACACGUGAGUAACCUGCCCUUGACUUUGGGAUAACUUCGGGAAACUGGGGCUAAUACCGGAUAGGAGCUCCUGCUGCAUGGUGGGGGUUGGAAAGUUUCGGCGGUUGGGGAUGGACUCGCGGCUUAUCAGCUUGUUGGUGGGGUAGUGGCUUACCAAGGCUUUGACGGGUAGCCGGCCUGAGAGGGUGACCGGCCACAUUGGGACUGAGAUACGGCCCAGACUCCUACGGGAGGCAGCAGUGGGGAAUAUUGCACAAUGGGCGGAAGCCUGAUGCAGCAACGCCGCGUGCGGGAUGACGGCCUUCGGGUUGUAAACCGCUUUCGCCUGUGACGAAGCGUGAGUGACGGUAAUGGGUAAAGAAGCACCGGCUAACUAC
rnacentral:rRNA from 1 species